CGCACUAUAGAGUGCGACAUCGCAAAAAAGUUGACCAAGUUUGAAGAUUUGUAGCGCGCGACGAGCGAUUUACUGCGAUCCUAUCUAUAGAUGCGAUGUCGUUAUAAACAAAGAGGAUCUCUUUGGUUAUAAAUAAACGUGCAACGACAUCGAUCCGAGAGUGAUAUUGUCAUUAAAUUAUAAAAUUGCAAUAAAUGGUAAAUAUGCAAUAAAUGAUGUUAGGUUUCGUAAUCGCGCAUCGCGUUUAUAUGAAUAGGUAGAAAAUCCUAUUCUCGCGAUUCGUCGCAUAUCGCGUGUCGCGUCAUCGCGCUGGUGUUACUGAGACUGAGAGAGAGAGAGAGAGAGAGAGAGAGAGAGAGAGAUUGCGGUGGAACGAGUUAAACAGUAUUUAGAUCAUGUGCCGACUGAAAAUACAAUGGGCACUAAUCAACCUUACGCGUGGCCUAGUCAAAGUGUUGUGGAAUUAAAAAAGUUGUUUUGAUGUACAGGAACCAUUUAGUGCCAUCGUUGAAAGAGAUAACAUUCGUUACUCGACCAGCGGAAAAAAUAGACGUCGUUGGUCGCACCGGUGCUGGAAAAAGUUCGUUACUAGCUUCGUUGUUUAGACUGACAGAGAUCAGUUCUGGGAGUAUAUUAAUCGACAACGUGAAUAUUCAAACGUUACAACUGAACACAUUAAGAUCCCGUUUAGCAAUUAUACCUCAGAAUCCGUUUCUUUUCUCGGGUACUAAUCGAGAGAAUGUGGAUCCGUUGGAUCAGUAUACCUAUAUGCACAUAUAUACAAAACCUUCGAGAAAUGUAAAGUGCAUUCUUUAGUUCAUCGAAUGGAUGGUUUGGAUGCAGUCUUGGAUGAAGGUGGUAGUAAUCUCAGCACUGGGCAGAGACAAUUGUUCUGCUUAGUCAGAGCUGUGCUACACAAUGCGAAGAUUUUUGUUGUCCAUCUGUUAUGGUAGGAAAUUUAGGUAAUUUCCUUUCUGUUCGUAAUAAAGAAAGCUUACGUGAACUUAUCAUACAUGUUUCGGCAUCGUUUUCCGAUUCUGCACUCGAAGUAUCUUUGUUUGUACCUUAAUUAUUAUAUAUGUAUAUAUAUGUGUAAACCAAUUCUUGAAACUAAGG